rnacentral:rRNA from 1 species
ACUCAAAGGAAUAGACGGGGACCCGCACAAGCGGUGGAGCAUGUGGUUUAAUUCGAGGCAACGCGAAGAACCUUACCAGGCCUUGACAUGGGUAGUAUGGACCUUAGAAAUUUGGUCCUUCAGUUCGGCUGGCUACCACACAGGUGCUGCAUGGCUGUCGUCAGCUCGUGUCGUGAGAUGUUGGGUUAAGUCCCGCAACGAGCGCAACCCUCGUCCUCUGUUGCUAACAGGUAAUGCUGAGAACUCUGAGGAAACUGCCGGCGUUAAGCCGGAGGAAGGUGGGGAUGACGUCAAGUCUUCAUGGCCCUUACGGCCUGGGCUACACACGUGCUACAAUGGCGGUGACAAUGUGCUGCUACCUCGCGAGAGGAAGCGAAUCACAAAAAGCCGUCUCAGUUCGGAUUGCACUCUGCAACUCGAGUGCAUGAAGCUGGAAUCGCUAGUAAUCGUGGAUCAGCAUGCCACGGUGAAUACGUUCCCGGGUCUUGUACACACCGCCCGU